rnacentral:rRNA from 1 species
GAUCAUGGCUCAGGAUGAACGCUGGCGGCGUGCCUAACACAUGCAAGUCGAGCGAAGCACUUUGCUUAGAUUCUUCGGAUGAAGAGGAUUGUGACUGAGCGGCGGACGGGUGAGUAACGCGUGGGUAACCUGCCUCAUACAGGGGGAGUAACAGUUAGAAAUGACUGCUAAUACCGCAUAAGACCACAGCACCGCCAUGGUGGCGGGGGUAAAACGGUAACCGUCGGU